rnacentral:rRNA from 1 species
CACGUAGGGCGCAAGCGUUGUCCGGAAUUAUUGGGCGUAAAGAGCUCGUAGGUGGUUUGUUACGUCCGCUGUGAAAUCCUAGGGCUUAACCCUGGGCUUGCAGUGGAUACGGGCAGACUAGAGGUAGGUAGGGGAGAAUGGAAUUCCCGGUGUAGCAGUGAAAUGCGUAGAUAUCGGGAGGAAUACCGAUGGCGAAGGCAGGUCUCUGGGCUAUAACUGACGCUCAUGCACGAAAGCGUGGGGAGCAAACAGG